GUGUAUAUAGAGAAAAUAACGCAGCUCGCUCAUUCGCUCGCUGCAAAGCCCGGCCAAGCGAUAUCAGUAAUACAUGUUCAGUAUAAGAAACGUAAGUAAUGAGAGAAAUUUGCGGGGGAUAACCCGUCAAUGUGUCAGUCGGUCAAGUGACGGGGGAUAAUCCGUCAGUCUGUCAGUCGGUCAAGUGACGGGGGAUAAUCCGUCAGUCAGUCAGUCAAGUCAGUCAAGAGUGGUGGAGGGAGGAUCCGUCAUUCAGUCAGUCGGUCAGUCAAGUCAGUCAAGAGUGGCGGAGGGAGGAUCCGUCAUUCAGUCAGUCGGUCAGUCAAGUCAGUCAAGAGUGGCGGAGGGAGGAUCCGUCAGUCUGUCAGUCAGUCAGUCAAGUCAGUCAAGAGUGGUGGAGGGAGGAUCCGUCAUUCAGUCAGUCGGUCAGUCAAGUCAGUCAAGAGUGGCGGAGGGAGGAUCCGUCAUUCAGUCAGUCGGUCAGUCAAGUCAGUCAAGAGUGGCGGAGGGAGGAUCCGUCAGUCGGUCAGUCAAUCAGUCAAAUCAGUCAAGAGUGGCGGAGGGAGGAUCCGUCAUUCAGUCAGUCAAAUCAGUCGUGAGUGGCGGAGGGAGGAUCCGUCACGCUGUCAGUCAGUCAGUCAAUCAGUCAGUUCGUUAUUUAAAGUGCCGGAUUGAGGAAACGUCAAGAAGUUGUUUAUUCAGAGUGUCGGAGGAUUGAUCCGUCACGAAGUUCGCUGUUAACGGAGGGAGCAUUCGUCGGGGUCUUGUACAAAGCCUUCUUCAGCAGGAGCAGCGUCGGGGCGCCACGCGUUGAGGCCGCCAGGGAUCAGUACUAGGCCGGAGAAGCACCCUCAAGCUAGUGCAGGGUCUCGCCUUCCCCUGUAGCGGCCCCGCGUGCCGAGUGCUGCUUGGACUAGAGGCCCUUCGCUCCCACGGCCCAGCACAGCCUCCUAGACAAAAGAGAAAACUUUUAGGAGUUUUGUCUAAGGAAAUAGAAAAACAUGAAGGUUUGUGACCGGAGCAUUAAGAGUUGUUUGUAGGUGGAAGUGGAGGCUUGCUGAACACGUCCUGUGGAAGACCCCUCCUCCUCUUCCUCCUUUUCAUCGAUCUCUUUUUCCUCUUCCUCCUCCUCCUCCUCCUCCUCCUCCUCCUGCUCCUCCUCUAUUUCCUUCAAACCUACCCUAACGCACGUACAGCCAGUGUUUUAAUCAACUCUGCAGGUCGAUCUGAUUAAACCAGUAAAGCGCACAGCCUCGUUAUGAGCAGACAGCCUUUCUGUUCCCUGCCUUUUUAUGUUACGAACAGAGUGGUGGAUGAGUGGAACAGGCUUGGCAGUCAUGUUGUGAGUGCCAAUACGAUAGACACAUUUGAUAAAAGAUUAAAUAAAUGCGUGGAUGGUGAUGUUAGGUGGGGUUAGUUUCACAGGAGCUGCCCUGCAUAAUCCUACCGGCCUCUUGCAGACUCCUUACGUUCUUAUGUUCUAGUAAAAAC